rnacentral:rRNA from 1 species
UACAGAGGUCUCAAGCGUUGUUCGGAUUCAUUGGACGUAAAGGGUGUGUAGGUGGCGCGCUAAGUCGGGUGUGAAAUUUCGGAGCUUAACUCCGAAACUGCAUUCGAUACUGGCGUGCUUGAGGACUGGAGAGGAGACUGGAAUUCAUGGUGUAGCAGUGAAAUGCGUAGAGAUCAUGAGGAAGACCAGUGGCGAAGGCGGGUCUCUGGACAGUUCCUGACACUGAGACACGAAGGCCAGGGGAGCAAACGGG